rnacentral:snoRNA from 1 species
GUCCUAUGAUGAACCAUUUAUUCAGUUCUGCUUCCGAGUAGAGAGCAAUCUCGUGUGGAAACCUUUACAUACCAAAACUCUCAAUUCUGACCU